rnacentral:rRNA from 1 species
UACGUAGGGUGCAAGCGUUGUCCGGAAUUAUUGGGCGUAAAGAGCUCGUAGGCGGUUUGUUGCGUCGGCUGUGAAAUCCCGAAGCUCAACCUCGGGUCUGCAGUCGAUACGAGCAAACUAGAGUGUUGCAGGGGAGACUGGAAUUCCUGGUGUAGCGGUGAAAUGCGCAGAUAUCAGGAGGAACACCGGUGGCGAAGGCGGGUCUCUGGGCAACAACUGACGCUGGAGGAGCGAAAGCGUGGGGAGCGAACAGG